UUGUGGUUUUGGAUGGACUCGCGGCCUAUCAGCUUGUUGGUGAGGUAAUGGCUCACCAAGGCGACGACGGGUAGCCGGCCUGAGAGGGUGACCGGCCACACUGGGACUGAGACACGGCCCAGACUCCUACGGGAGGCAGCAGUGGGGAAUAUUGCACAAUGGGCGGAAGCCUGAUGCAGCGACGCCGCGUGAGGGAUGACGGCCUUCGGGUUGUAAACCUCUUUCAGUAGGGAAGAAGCGAAAGUGACGGUACCUGCAGAAGAAGCGCCGGCUAACUACGUGCCAGCAGCCGCGGUAAUACGUAGGGCGCAAGCGUUAUCCGGAAUUAUUGGGCGUAAAGAGCUCGUAGGCGGUUUGUCGCGUCUGCCGUGAAAGUCCGGGGCUCAACUCCGGAUCUGCGGUGGGUACGGGCAGACUAGAGUGAUGUAGGGGAGACUGGAAUUCCUGGUGUAGCGGUGAAAUGCGCAGAUAUCAGGAGGAACACCGAUGGCGAAGGCAGGUCUCUGGGCAUUAACUGACGCUAG
rnacentral:rRNA from 1 species